AAUCAACAACUAACGCUGACGUAUUCUCCUUUUUACCUAUUGUGAAGGUUUCAUUAUGAAGUUACUAUAGUUCAUUGAAAUUUGCAAGUGUGUAUUUGCUAAAGUGAGCUACCAACAGCCUUCGUCGUUAGGUCAGAAUAUAAAUAGACUUUUUUUUCUGAAGAGCAAAUCCGUGCAUCCUGUUCGUUACGACCUUUCAUGGUUGCUGACAUGCCAUGAUAAAUAAACAAUUUCACCCCCCACUUUUCGGAGAAGAUCCCAAUAACAUUAUGUCUAUGUACAUGUAGCAACUAGUCAGCCGAACUUAUUCAAUCCUGGGACGACAACACCCUCAGAUUCAAUCUAACUACAAAAUACCCGUUUCGUUCCCGGUCCUUUUCAAUCCUCGUGUUUGCGAGCGUGUUGUUAAAGGUGUGGAGAAUGAUCCGCUAUGAGAACACAAGAAUACCAACUGCAAAAGCCUCGAGUGAUGCCAUUUCCUGAUAACGGGUCCUUGGGAUACUUCAUAUUACGGUUGACAAUCUAGCAGGCCUUUUGUAUACCGCCGUUUCACGGGUAUGUCGUUUUUACAUAUUUUUUCUUUAAAUAUUGCCAGCUCGCUUUAUCAACCACAAGCCUGAAAAAUUUAAGAUAUAUGUUUGUUAAUUUCAUAAACGAGAAAUUACCGUAAAGUUAUCCUUGUAAAUCGCCAACUUUCCUUAAUUGUCGCUCAGGUAUGUUUAGUUAAAUAUCUGGCUCUACUUGAAUAUGAGAGUGGAUCGAAAGAAUGUCUGAAAAGAAAAAAUAUAGAAAUUAAUUUAGGAUCUUUCAGUGAAUAUUCCAAAAUCUGUAAAACCAUCUUGUCAACGUUUUCCGUCCACUUUGACCUGACUGUCCUCGCUACUUCCAUUAAAAUAUGUAAAAUAUCUCCAGGGUCAUACGAGGGGCUAACUUUCUUUAUUUAAUUAAUAAUAAUAAUAAUAAUAUAAAUAUUAAUUAACUUUAUUUUUCUGUGAAAAAAGCAGACAUGUCUUCAGUAGAAGAUAAGACCCUUUAAAACUUUAUUUAUUGUACAAGUAUAAAUUUACAGGUUUUUAUUUUAUGCUUACUGUAGUAAAUUUUGUUGGGGAGAUCGGUAAAUUUAUUUAACUUUAUUUUUUAUCAUUAAUUAAUGUUUAUUUGAUCCAGCUUUGUGCUGAUUAUGUUUCAGUUACUUAAGGGAUAACAGCGUAAUCUUGUUGGAGAGUUCUUAUUGAUGGCGAGGUUUGCGACCUCGAUGUUGGAUUAAAAUUAAUUUCAUUAGAUUUCAUGGUCCGGCUGAUCAAAUAACAUCUUUCAAUUAAUUAAUCUUUAUGUAAGGUAUUGGUUGAUAUAAAAAAGUCAGUGUCACGAGCGGGAUUCGAACCCACGACCUUUGGCUAAAUACGCCGCUUGCGUGCCGAGCUA